rnacentral:lncRNA from 1 species
UGUGGAUCAGGAUGUAGAACUCCCAGCUACCUCUCCAGCGCCAUGUCUGCCUGUGUGCCACCCUGCUUCCCUCCGUGACGUUGAUGGACUAACCCUCUGAACUGUACGCCAGCCAGUUAAAUGUUUUCUUUUAUAAGAGUUGUCGUGGUCAUGGUGUCUCUUCACAGCAAUAAAACCUUAACUAAGACAAACCAUUAAUCUCAGGACCUGCAGUAGCCUGGGAUGCCUCAUGGUUCAAGGACAGGACAGGAUUAAGUGAACAAAGUCCCAAAAGAAAAGUCUGGAGUUUCAGAUUGCACAGACAGGAACAAAGACCGCUUGCAUCUUUUUUAGAGGACGCCUUACCUUGGUUUUCUGAAAGAACUUUUGGUGUGGCUGGCCUAGUGAGGGAGGGGUUGAGCAUUCUGAUGCCAUCGCCUGGUGAGACCAAAGUCUGGAUGUUGACAUGCCCAGCAAGCACCAGAGGAAGGCCCUACAGCUGAGCCUUCUUGCACCUGCCAGUGUCUUAUGACCCCAAAUCCCCUUUAGUUGUGCACACAUGGACACUGUUUAGCUUCCUGGAGAUCUCGUCUGCAAAGCUGCCAGGUUGAAGUGACAGAGUUUAUCUUAUCAGCAAACGCCUUCUCGAUCCCCGGAAACUGUAAUUCAGACCAUUCACACCUCCCACAGGGAGUGGCACUAUUAGGAGGUGUGGCUAUGUUGGAGUAGCUGUGGCCUUGUCAGAGGAACUGUAUCACCAUGGGGCUUUGACAUCUCAGAUGCCCAAGCAGGGCCUAGUUGUCACUGUCAUUUCUGCUGCUGGAAGAUCAAGUCUGCCUGCACACUGCCACAUCGCACCAUGGGACGACGGACUAAACCUCUGAAACUGAACAAUGCUACAUAACAGCAUCAAAGAAGAUUCCAAAAUCUGGGGCCUAAAGAACAGAGGAAAGGAACACACUAAUCACUAAGAUUUGGGACAGUCUGGGGCUGGAGAAAUGGCUGGGCAGCUUGAUGCUCUUCCAUGGGGACCCAAGCUCCCCUGUGAUCGAAGAAGCCAGAAGAACCUGUCACAACAGUUGGAGCUGCCACAGCUGCUGUGCCCCGAUGUAACAGACCAAAUCUUCUGAACAGGACCAAUAUGGCAGAAGGAGAGAAUGGACUCAUGAAGUUGCCCACUGGCUUCUACAUACAUGCUGUGGCAUGUGGGGCCCCUACUCCAAUAAAGAUUACAAACCUAUAUUACAAACCUAUUAUAAAGCCGUGAUGAUUUCCAUGUAUAGCGUUGGCUUAUGGGAAACAGCUCAGUGGAGU